AGUGAACGCUGGCGGUAGGCCUAACACAUGCAAGUCGAACGGCAGCACAGUAAGAGCUUGCUCUUACGGGUGGCGAGUGGCAGACGGGUGAGGAAUACAUCGGAAUCUACUUUUUCGUGGGGGAUAACGUAGGGAAACUUACGCUAAUACCGCAUACGACCUACGGGUGAAAGCAGGGGAUCUUCGGACCUUGCGCGAUUGAAUGAGCCGAUGUCGGAUUAGCUAGUUGGCGGGGUAAAGGCCCACCAAGGCGACGAUCCGUAGCUGGUCUGAGAGGAUGAUCAGCCACACUGGAACUGAGACACGGUCCAGACUCCUACGGGAGGCAGCAGUGGGGAAUAUUGGACAAUGGGCGCAAGCCUGAUCCAGCCAUACCGCGUGGGUGAAGAAGGCCUUCGGGUUGUAAAGCCCUUUUGUUGGGAAAGAAAAGCAGCAGGUUAAUACCCCGCUGCUCUGACGGUACCCAAAGAAUAAGCACCGGCUAACUUCGUG
rnacentral:rRNA from 1 species